CAGUCGCCGCGGGAAUACGAAGGGGGCUAGCGUUGCUCGGAAUUACUGGGCGUAAAGGGAGCGUAGGCGGAUCGUUUAGUCAGGGGUGAAAUCCCGGGGCUCAACCUCGGAACUGCCUUUGAUACUGGCGAUCUUGAGUAUGGGAGAGGCGUGUGGAACUCCGAGUGUAGAGGUGAAAUUCGUAGAUAUUCGGAAGAACACCAGUAGCGAAGGCGACACACUGGCCCAUUACUGACGCUGAGGCUCGAAAGCGUGGGGAGCGAACAGGAUUAGAGACCCCCGUAGUCCCUGUCUCUUAUAC
rnacentral:rRNA from 1 species